rnacentral:rRNA from 1 species
UACGGAGGGUGCAAGCGUUAUCCGGAUUCACUGAGUUUAAAGGGUGUGUAGGCAAGCUGUUAAGUCAAUAAUGAAAUCUCCAAGCUCAACCCGAAAACUGCCAUUGAUACUAUCAGUCUUGAAUAUCGUUGAGGUUGGCGGAAUAUAUCAUGUAGCGGUGAAAUGCUUAGAUAUGAUAUAGAACACCGAUUGCGAAGGCAGCUAACUAAGCGAUGAUUGACGCUGAGGCACAAAAGCAUGAGGAUCAAACAGG